rnacentral:misc_RNA from 1 species
AAGUCGUAACAAGGUUUCCGUAGGUGAACCUGCGGAAGGAUCAUUAACACGAACAUUUUAUUAUCCAAUAUCAAAACCAAACGUGAACUUUUCCCCUCCCUUCUCUGUCUCUGUCUCUGUCUCUGUAGAGAGAGAAAGAGAAGGCUAACCUUUCUUUGUUUGAACCUUCUUUUUCAAACAAUUUCAAACCCCUUCAAACUGAACUAGUCUUUGAUCCAACAUGUGUUCAAAACUACUAACUAAUUAAAACUUCCCUAUGUCAGAAAUGAUAUUAUGGAAAUUUUUUUCGAUUUACGAAAAAUUGAUCAAAAGAACAACUCUUAACAAUGGAUAUCUUGGUUCUC